GUGAACGGCCACACUGGAACUGAGACACGGUCCAGACUCCUACGGGAGGCAGCAGUGGGGAAUAUUGCACAAUGGAGGAAACUCUGAUGCAGCGACGCCGCGUGAGUGAAGAAGGUUUUCGGAUCGUAAAACUCUGUCCUUGGUGAAGAAAGAAAUGACGGUAGCCAAGGAGGAAGCCCCGGCUAACUACGUGCCAGCAGCCGCGGUAAUACGUAGGGGGCGAGCGUUGUCCGGAUUUACUGGGCGUAAAGGGUGAGUAGGCGGUAAUAUGUGUCAGAUGUAAAAGGCUAAGGCUUAACCAUAGUUAGCAUUUGAAACUGUAUUACUUGAGUGCAGGAGAGGUAAGUGGAAUUCCUAGUGUAGCGGUGAAAUGCGUAGAUAUUAGGAGGAACACCAGUGGCGAAGGCGACUUACUGGACUGUAACUGACGCUGAGUCACGAAAGCGUGGGUAGCAAACAGGAUUAGAUACCCUGGUAGUCCACGCUGUAAACGAUGAGUGCUAGGUGUUGGGUAGCGAUAUUCAGUGCCGAAGUUAACACAAUAAGCACUUCGCCUGGGGAGUACGGUCGCAAGACUGAAACUCAAAGGAAUUGACGGGGUACCCGCACAAGCAGCGGAGCAUGUGG
rnacentral:rRNA from 1 species